AAAACCCACCGCGAAUUUCACUUUGAAUCAAUCGAAGUUCUUCGCAAGGAAAUCAUUGCCAACUCAUCACAAUCGCUCCGUGAAAUGUUCAAAACGAGCACAUUUGUCGGCUCAAUCAACGUGAAACAAGUGCUCAUCCAAUUCGGCACCUCCCUCUACCAUCUCGACUUUUCCACCGUGCUCCGAGAGUUUUUCUACCAGAUUUCCGUUUUCUCGUUCGGCAAUUACGGAUCCUAUCGACUCGACGAGGAGCCGCCGGCAAUCAUCGAAAUUCUUGAACUUCUUGGAGAGCUGAGCACUCGUGAGCCAAAUUACGCGGCUUUCGAAGUUUUUGCAAACGUGGAAAAUCGAUUUGCGGCGGAGAAGUUGCUCGCCGAGCACGCUGACCUGCUUCACGACUAUUUUGCCAUAAAGUUAGAUCAGCUGGAGAAUGGGAGGCUUCAUAUCACUGAGAUUCCAUCACUGGUGCAUUAUUUUGUGCCACAGCUUGAAAAGCUACCAUUUCUAAUUGCGACACUCGUUUUGAACGUGGAUUAUGAUGAUG
rnacentral:sRNA from 1 species